AUUUACUUAAAAUUUAGAGAAUUUGGCGGUGGUUUAGUCUUAUUAGAGGAACCUGUUUUUUAAUCGAUAUUCCACGCAGUAUCUUGCUUGCUUUAAGUUUGUAUACCAUCAUUAUUAGAUAAUUUUUAAAAAAGAAAUUAUUGGGAUUGAAUUAUUAAAGAGAUUAGAUCAAGGUGCAGCUAAUAAACAAGUUAAAAUGGGUUACAAUAGAAUUAAUACUAUUAUGGAUAUAAUUAGUAAAUAUUAGAUAUAGAAGGUGGAUUUAAUUGUAAUGAUAGUUUAAUAAGCUAAAAUGACAAAAGCUCUAAAUCAUGUACACAUCGCC
rnacentral:rRNA from 1 species